CUACCCUUGACAUGCCUGGAAUCCUGCAGAGAUGCGGGAGUGCCCGAAAGGGAGCCGGGACACAGGUGCUGCAUGGCUGUCGUCAGCUCGUGUCGUGAGAUGUUGGGUUAAGUCCCGCAACGAGCGCAACCCUUGUCAUUAGUUGCUACGAAAGGGCACUCUAAUGAGACUGCCGGUGACAAACCGGAGGAAGGUGGGGAUGACGUCAAGUCCUCAUGGCCCUUAUGGGUAGGGCUACACACGUCAUACAAUGGCUGGUACAGAGGGUUGCCAACCCGCGAGGGGGAGAUAAUCCCAUAAAACCAGUCGUAGUCCGGAUCGUAGUCUGCAACUCGACUGCGUGAAGUCGGAAUCGCUAGUAAUCGCGGAUCAGCAUGUCGCGGUGAAUACGUUCCC
rnacentral:rRNA from 1 species